rnacentral:misc_RNA from 1 species
UGAUGAAAAGAGAAAAAUAAAAUCCAAUAGAACUCUCAAAUCCUAACCCCAGUAUAUUUUUCGAAUAUCUCAGAACUCUACCACAAAGGGUAGAACAUCACAAUAUUUAUACUGGUCCAUACAGCGGGGUCAUUGCCCCCGCAUGAUGGGCUUCGGGCCCAAACCUAUCGGCACAUGCCCUCCGCUAUUAUCACAAAUCUCACUUUUUAUCCCAA